rnacentral:lncRNA from 1 species
AUGAGGCAUGAUCAAAUACUGCUUACAGUUUCAAUAGUUCUGAUACAUUUGCUUAAUCUCAUGAGAUGUAAAACAACGGUAGAUCCAGAAGUUGAUUAUGGCUAUGAGCUGAAACGAACUCCCGAGCAAAUAAAAACAGAGUUAGAAAAACACAAAAUUAUUCCUGACUUAUUGGACAAGGCGCCAAAUGAAACAAUUCAUAUAGAAUGGAUGGACCGGGAUGGAAAAUAUGGUCUUUGCGCUAAGCUUGGAAACGAAAUAACUAGAGUUCAUGAGCUAGAGUGCCGACCAUUGUGGGUUAACUACAGAACGUUCCUCAAGGAAGUUCAUACGCUGAUGAUGAUAGGUAUGGAUGAACCGUCAGCUCAAAAUCGCUCCUCUAGUUUGUUCCUGUACUGGCUCGUCAGUGACAUUCCAGCGCAUAGUUAUGAAAAUGAGCAACUACCCGCACUCGAUUAUGUAAGAGGAGAAACGAUUUUCGAUUACCGGGAACCGAGGCCUUUGCUAGGAACAGGGCUUCAUCGAUAUGUGUUCCUUGUUUAUGCACACGGAAAUAGAACGAUAAAUUGUACAAUGAAAAAACUGAAUCAGAGGUAGGUUCUUCAAUUUAAAUAAAAUUGGUGAUUCCUUUGUGUGUAUUUUUGUUGCACCAAUAGGUAGGUAUACACUUAGCUUCAAAGAUGUGUUUCUCGCAUUCAUUGCCAGAUUAAAUAGACGAAAAUUGAAUAAUUAUAUAUACGUUUAAAUCAGACAACUAGAUAUUUCUUCCGCUAGGGAAGAUUUUGGCUAUCUUAAAACACUCAAUUUUCCCCUUAUAUCGAAAUUAAAUGGACGCUAAUUUAAUAUUCUUGAUAGCAUGAUAGCUGCGUUGCUAAAGUCGCCGGAGAGCUCUCCGGAGUUACCCGGAGACGUAAACAACCGUUGACUGACUCCGGAGGCAUUACCCGGAGACUUGAGACGCGUUGUUAAAGUUAAAAAUUGAAGCCAGCGAAAUGACGUCAGUCCGCCAUUUUUAGUUAUCCGCUGAGCGAUGAUGCAAACU